ACUGAAUUGAAAGGCCUGCUUCCAGCUCUACAGUGGACCCACAGCGCAGGGGAGGGAGCACCAAGGACGGGGCGGGGGUGGGGGGUGGUCAGCCAAGCGCCUCCCAGGGCGCGGCGUGACGAGGCCCACAGGAUCGAAAGGGCACCAAGGGCUCUGUGGCGCCGAAACAGGCCGCGUACCGAGGGUCGCGGGGUCGCGCGGCUCCCGGAGCCCAGGGCGGGGGCGCUCCAAGGCUUCGGGCCGGAGCCCAGAGCGUCGCCCUCAGCUAAUCCGUCUCGUGGGCCCAGGACGGCGACAGGGAAGUGCCGCGUGGCGCUCCUCGGGCGAGGAAGCCGCNNNNNNNNNNNNNNNNNNNNNNNNNNNNNNNNNNNNNNNNNNNNNNNNNNNNNNNNNNNCGCCGCGCGGGGUGCGGGCCUGAGGGCCGGCUUCUCCCGCCUCAGGUUGUGCAGGUCUCAGGAAGCACGUCUGCCAGGGGGUCUCGACAGAAGGGCGCACCUCUUCUGUUUCACCGCAGAAACCUGCCUUCGGCGGCCAGGGAGCCACCUGCCCCCCGCCUUGCGUCCUCCCCACUCGGCCCGCGCCCCGCCGCGGGACCCGCCGACCGGAGCCGGACCGCGCGCGGGGCGAAGCCGGAAACGCCGGGAGCGUCUCCCCCACAAGCCUCAGCGCCGGCCUCGUGAGUGGUGAAACUGCAAAAUCAGGUUGGAGCAGGCGCUUGGUGGAAGUCUUUUCUGAUCCCAUCACAGACAGACUAUGAAGAAAACAGUAAGUGCCUGCCAACCCCUGCUCUGACCAAAGGAGGAUGCUCUCACCCCUUGCAUCCUCAGGGGAACAUCUCAGGAGGAAUUCUGAUUUAGGACCCUGGGCGGGUCUCCUGGGGAUCUGGGGAUUUCUAAACCCAAUCUUGGUCUGUGAAGAGCCCCAGAGCAUCUUGUGGGUGGAACUUUAUGAAUAAUUGAUUAGGUUUCCUGUCUUUAUUCAUCAGAACCUAUCCAGGACCAAGACACGGUGGGCGUCCUCAGUGAGGCGGGAAGACACACGAAAUAGAUGUCAAGCGCUUGAGUGGUGGGAAGCCGGUCAACACCGGAAGUUAAGGGUCCUAACCAGUCUUCCAGCUGGUGAUGAUUCCCAGCUGAGCUGCCAGUGGUGACUGGGAGCCUGAAGGCUCAGGAGGAGAAUUCUGAGCAGAGGGANNNNNNNNNNNNNNNNNNNNNNNNNNNNNNNNNNNNNNNNNNNNNNNNNNNNNNNNNNNNNNNNNNNNNNNNNNNNNNNNNNNNNNNNNNNNNNNNNNNUGGUGACUGGGAGCCUGAAGGCUCAGGAGGAGAAUUCUGAGCAGAGGGAAGGGCAGAAGGGAAAAGACCUCCGCUAGUGAAUCUGUACAUUUUCCUUGGAGCUCUCAUUGAAAAGUUUCCACCAGGCUGAAUUUUAUAUUUUUAAGAAGUCCUAUUACCCUGGAGGCAACCCAUGUUGCCUACCAUUCUAUCAAACACUGAAUGUUGCAGCCAUCAAGCCAUGAGUCACUGCAGCUUCCCUGUUGGUGUACUCUAAGGGGAAUUCAGAAUGGAUAAAAAACAGGAUAUUGGCCCUAGAUAGUUAAGAUGCAUGUCAAAGGAAUAAUUUCAAUGAGCUGCGAUCCUUGCAUCAUCCCAUACUUAGAAAAGCACUAAAAUAAUUAACGUGAGACACAUGUUUUUCUAUGUUUAGCAGUAAUCUUUUGAUGUUCAAUUACGUUUUUUUUUCCCCUCCAGAAAAAAGUUCCUGUAUAUCUUGGGUCCUGCCUUACUUUCUUUAGAACAGUUCCUCAGAGCUACCUGAGAGUCUGCUUCACUGGCUAGUCUUCGGUAAGGCCCUUGAAUAAAACGUAACACCUAAGUUGUAGGUUGUGUGUGUGUGUGUUUCAAUUGUCAAUAGUAGCCCCCCCCCUUUUUUUCUUACUUCUGCUCCUUCAUUGCCAUGUUAUUCAUCGAGGCGUUGGAUAAGAUCCCUUGAAAGAGAAAGGAAGGGAAGGGAAUCCUAUGGGAGUAGAGCGUCAUAAGGGUUUUAGCUGUCCCUGGAAUUCAGACACUUCCUCUGUUGGGCAAGAAUAAUUGUAGUUCUUUUAUGGAGAAAUGCAUGGCGUAACUGAGCAGGAUCCUAGGGGGCCUUCCUUGGGCACACCCCUCCCUCCCUACUACAAGCUCUACCUGUCUCUUGUUUGUAGGAAAGGUUUCCUCUCCCAGGCCCUCAAAGGCUAGCUCUAGAGGUGAGGAUUGGAAACAUGCGAACAUGCAGUAACAAAAGCUAGCAGUUGGGCCAGGAGUUUUUAUUCAGUCACUAAGUCGUGUCCAGCUCUCUGCAGCCCCAUGGACUGCAGCACACCAGGCUUCCCUGUCCUUGACUAUCUUCCAGAGUUUGCUCAAAUUCACGCCCACUGAGUGGUGGUGCUAGAUGACCAUCUCAUCCUCUGCCGCCCCCUUCCUGGGCCAGGAGAACUGGUAACAGUGGAAACAGAGCAGCCACAGAAGGCACGGAGUCUUCAGUUCCUCCCUGAAGGACACAGAUAGAUCUGAUGCACAUUCCUGAGGUGGUCUGCAGAUGCUACAACCACCACCAGAGGGAAGAAGCUAGCUGCGCAGUGAGCAGACUGUAGCCCUGACACAAAUGACUCCAUCUGGAGCAGUACCAAAUCUGUGGCUUGCAUACUUCCAGAAAUUCGCCCCAAGAAAGUGGAACCAAACUGACCCUGGAGUUGAAGAUUAACUGUGAUUAAAACAAGACGAGUCCAGCCAGACCACAGUGUUACUCACUUCAAGAUGACCGGCAGGGCUGGCUGUGCUGCUCUGCCCACAAGCCCCACCCCUUCACCCCGGACACUUCCUGGUUUUUCCCUGUGAAAUCUUUUUCUCUCCAACUGAAAGCUUGGAGACGGUUUGGGGGUACACCUGCCUUCUAUCUUCCUAGGUUGCUGGCCUCCUGAAUAAAGCUUCUUUCUUUUCCCACCAGUUCUUGUGUCUCUUGAACAUUGACUUUUGAGUGAGAGCAGCUGAACCUGAGUUCGUUUCCAGCCCUUCUGGUAACCUCAGGAACUAUGAACAAAGUUUAAAAAGUAAUCCAGUAUGGAAAGAUAUUCAAGUUACAUUGAACAAAAAUGACAGAGGUUGCCAAACAAUAUGUAUGAUAUAAUAUGUGUGCAAGAGUCAAAGGAUGUGCACAGGAAUAUACAUCCUUUCUGUAUAUACAUGUAUUAAACAUAGCUAGACAUGUAUUAAAUAUAUAUAUUUAUAUAUUUGUUUUGUGCAUAUACAUGAGAUGUUUAAGGAUAGAAAGCAUUCUAAUAAAAAUGACCACCUUUAGAGGAACAGCGUUGAAGUGUGUGUUUCCUCUAAGUACAUCUGUAUAAUUGGGUAAAAAAAACAAGCGCAUAUUGUUUUAAAUAAUAAAUGAAGAAAAAAUGUAUCAGAUUAUUCUAUCCUUCAGAGAUCACAUAGGCAGUCCUUCAGAUCAAAGCGUCCCUGAUCCUGUGUUUUCUACAGAACCCAGCAGACAAAAGUGAAAAGCAAAUUUCCCUCCCAGUAGAAGCUGGAUCCAGAGAAGGCGAUGGCACCCCACUCCAGUACUCCAGACACGACGGAGUGACUUCACUUUCCCUUUUCACUUUCAUGCAUUGGAGA
ensembl:lncRNA